rnacentral:rRNA from 1 species
UACGAAGGGGGCUAGCGUUGUUCGGAAUUACUGGGCGUAAAGCGCACGUAGGCGGAUGUGUAAGUCAGGGGUGAAAUCCCGGGGCUCAACCUCGGAACUGCCUUUGAUACUGCACAUCUCGAGUCCGGAAGAGGUGAGUGGAAUUCCUAGUGUAGAGGUGAAAUUCGUAGAUAUUAGGAGGAACACCAGUGGCGAAGGCGGCUCACUGGUCCGGUACUGACGCUGAGGUGCGAAAGCGUGGGGAGCAAACAGG